UACGUAGGGGGCUAGCGUGGUCCGGAAUCAUUGGGCGUAAAGAGCGUGUAGGCGGUCCGGUAAGUCCGCUGUGAAAGUCGGGGGCUCAACCCUCGAAUGCCGGUGGAUACUGUCGGGCUAGAGUGCGGAAGAGGCGAGUGGAAUUCCUGGUGUAGCGGUGAAAUGCGCAGAUAUCAGGAGGAACACCUAUUGCGAAGGCAGCUCGCUGGGACGUAACUGACGCUGAGACGCGAAAGCGUGGGGAGCAAACAGG
rnacentral:rRNA from 1 species